GACGGAGGGUGCAAGCGUUGCUCGGAAUUACUGGGCGUAAAGGGUGCGUAGGCGGCCUUUCAAGUCUGGCGUGAAAGCCCAGGGCUCAGCCCUGGAAGUGCGCUAGAAACUGGAAGGCUAGAGUAUCGGAUGGGAGAGUGGAAUUCCUGGUGUAGCGGUGAAAUGCGUAGAUAUCAGGAGGAAUACCGGUGGCGAAGGCGACUCUCUGGACGAUAACUGACGCUGAGGCACGAAAGCGUGGGGAGCAAACAGG
rnacentral:misc_RNA from 1 species